rnacentral:rRNA from 1 species
GUACGCUGGCGGCACGCCUAAUACAUGCAAGUCGAACGAAGUAGCAAUACUUAGUGGCAGACGGGUGAGUAACAUGUAGGUAUCUUCCCAUUGGUGAGGAAUAACACGAGGAAACUUGUGCUAAUACCUCAUAAGUCUUUACGGAGAAAGCUUUAUGCGCCGAUGGAUGAGCCUGCACUUGAUUAGUUUGUUGGUAGGGUAAUGGCCUACCAAGACAAUGAUCAAUAGCUGAUUUGAGAGGAUGAUCAGCCACAUUGGGACUGAGACACGGCCCAAACUCCUACGGGAGGCAGCAGUAGGGAAUCUUGCACAAUGGGGGAAACCCUGAUGCAGCGAUGCCGCGUGAGUGAAGAAGGCCUUUGGGUUGUAAAGCUCUUUCGUCGGGGAAGAAAAUGACUGUACCCGAAUAAGAAGGUCCGGC